AUUGAACGCUGGCGGAAUGCUUUACACAUGCAAGUCGAACGGCAGCACGGACUUCGGUCUGGUGGCGAGUGGCGAACGGGUGAGUAAUACAACGGAACGUGCCCAGUCGUGGGGGAUAACGUAGCGAAAGCUACGCUAAUACCGCAUACGAUCUAAGGAUGAAAGCGGGGGAUCGCAAGACCUCGCGCGAUUGGAGUGGCCGAUGGCAGAUUAGGUAGUUGGUAGGGUAAAGGCCUACCAAGCCGACGAUCUGUAGCUGGUCUGAGAGGAUGAUCAGCCACACUGGGACUGAGACACGGCCCAGACUCCUACGGGAGGCAGCAGUGGGGAAUUUUGGACAAUGGGCGCAAGCCUGAUCCAGCCAUUCCGCGUGCAGGAUGAAGGCCUUCGGGUUGUAAACUGCUUUUGUACAGAACGAAAAGGCUCUGGUUAAUACCCGGGGCUCAUGACGGUACUGUAAGAAUAAGCACCGGCUAACUACGUGCCAGCAGCCGCAGUAA
rnacentral:rRNA from 1 species